rnacentral:lncRNA from 1 species
AUGGACACAUAUGUACUGGAAAAUUUCCAAUACAAUUUGAAAGAAUGUAUUGUUAAUUGGCAGCGUGCGGGGAAGAGAUAUCCCGCGUUUGUCAUGGCUCUGGAUGACAUCAUGGCUAGUGGAACCACACCCAUCUCCAAAAAUCACAUUGGUGAGAGAAGAAACACAGUUUCUAACCGUGAGUGUGUUUGGUUUAAGCAUGAUGAUCAGAAAUAUGAGGAGUAGAGAUUGAGAGUAAAAAAUAUGAUUAGAAGUUGGAAGGUGGUGGUUGAAUGAAUCUGUAUUAAAUCUCUUUAACUGUCUGUCAUACUGUGUAUUCCCAGACAUCAUGGCUGGUGGAUCUACACCCUUCAUCCAAACCCCAAAAGCAGCACUCCAAGACAUAGCCGUCACAACCCUACGAGACAGCAUGGUAGGGUGACUUGAGCUGUACAGCGGGGAUGCAAACUAGUCACAAUUUGAAUACAAAAGCAGGUGUAUUAACAUUGUAACAAUACAGCAAGCAGAAAAAUAUUGUAUGCAUGUGCAGUUUUGCUUAAUUUAAUGUAAAUGUUUAAUGCAUAUUAUAGUGCAAUCAUUAUUUUUCUUAUAAGUGGUUUAAUUCAUAGAGUGCCAUAUAGGAUUAUAGGCCUGUAAUUUUCAUCAUAGGUACACCAACUAUGACAGACAAAAUUAGGGAAACAAAUCCAGAAAAUCAUAUUGUAGGAUUUUAAAUGAGUUUAUUUGCAAAUUAUGGUGGAAAAUAAUUAUUUGGUCAAUAACAAAAGUUUUUCUCAAUACUUUGUUAUAUACCCUUUGUUGGCAAUGACAGAGGUGAAACGUUUUCUGUAAGUCUUCACAAGGUUUUCACACACUGUUGCUGGUAUUUUGGCCCAUUCCUCCAUGCAGAUCUCCUCUAGAGGAGUGAUGUUUUGGGGCUGUUGCUGGGCAACACUGACUUUCAACUCCCUCCAAAGAUUUUCUAUGGGGUUGAGAUCUGGAGAUUGGCUAGGCCACUCCAGGACCUUGAAAUGCUUCUUACGAAGCCACUCCUUCGUUGCCCGGGCGGUGUGUUUGGAAUAAUUGUCAUGCUGAAAGAC